UUAAAGCAUUUAUAUACAGAUAAACACUAAACUUUCUUAUAUUUUAAUAUCAAUUUAAAAAGUAUGGCAUUUAAAAAAAUGUAAGUUUAUUGUAAGAAAGUAUCAGUCAUAGAGAGAAAGAGAAAAAAAACCAACCCACGUAUCUAUGAUAGCAGUAUAUUUUCCUGUAGGGUUUGAGACUGAAAUCUCAUUCUUCAUUUAAACCACAAGACCAUGUAUCAGUAUGGAAUUUGAACAGAUUUUCUGGAAUAACAGGUAAAGCCAAAAGAGAAGGUAUUUUUAACACACAAGUUAGAAAACACACACUCCUAUCAGAGCCCACACUUAGAAAAAGGGGUACUGCACAUUUUUACGUUCUUUAAAGGCAGCUCUGUUUCUGAAAUUGCCACUCAGAGGGUUUCCAAUUCUCAAAGAGGGCGAGAGGGAAGAAAAGAAAAGAAAAAGGUAUUUGGAGACCGUCAACUCUAGCUGAAGCGUCACGCGUGUCAUCAGAGUUUGUUAUUCACGCUUAAGCGAGAGGAAGAGCAAACUUCACACAGUGUAAAGCAGCGAGGCACCCGGCACUUGAGAUUAGAGCAGCCCUGCCGCCAUCAAGCCCGCAGGAAACGUCACCGCAGUCACCUUUACCCAUCCUCGCCUCAAUUUAAAACGAAAUACAAAGUCUUUGCCCCCCAUUCCCCUCCACCGCUUAUCCUACCUUCCACCGAGCGCCCGAUGCUAUACAAGUGAGUGAUGGAGGGGUAGGCGGCGUGAACCCUCUUCAGGUAUGCUUCCAGCUCCUCGGAGUGGUGGUACUUGAAAUCCAGAGCUGCCGCCGCAGAAAACAGGCAGAGGAUGCCCACCACGUUCUAAAAAGAAGCAGAUGAAUCACACAGCCGAAGGUACAGGCGGGCUUGCCGCGGCGGCCACAGAGCCGAGGCAUCGACAAGCCCGUGGAGGGACCUUCCCCACCUCAGCCCGUCUCCCCUCACAGGGACCUUCCCCACCUCAGCCCGUCUCCCCUCACAGGGACCUUCCCCGCCUCAGCCCACCUCCCCACAGGGGAGCAGGUGCCUUCUCCUUCCACCCACGACCGCCGCUCCUACCCCGCUAGCCGCCCGCAUGGUGCCACCACUUUUCCACGACUGGAGCCCUAACGCCGGGCGGGGGCCACCAUCCCCCGCCGCCGGCCUCGCCCUGUCCCUGACUGACAUGGCCUUCAUCCACUCGCGUCCCCUCGGCCCGCCCAAGGGGAACGGGGAGAACACACCCCUCCUCUUCUCCCCUCCCUCCUCCCCGCCUCGCGGACGGCUCUCACCUGUGCACCGCACGGCUGCUAUCGGCGCGGCGGCGGCUGACGUAGCUCUCCCCUCCGGCCUCGGUAGCCGCUCAGGGUGAACCUGACCCUCUUUCUCGUCCUGCUCCUCCGGGUGAGCCUCCCUGGAGGCUGAAGGGAGGGAAAGAGCUCGGGCACACGGCCGGCUGCUGGGCACUGUUCCGAGGAAACAGCGCGGCCGCAUUUUGGCGAGUCCCCCCUGGAGGUGUGACAGCUGCCCUUCUCCAGCUGACAUGUACUGUUCAUCCCUUUACUCUUCCCCAGCACCUGUGUGGCCCUGGGGUGUCACCAGGAUGCCCACACCUGGGGCCCAGAGGCAAAACCAGCUGCAUGCAGAGGGACUCUUGAGAGAUUUUAGCUCCCCGUAUCUGAAAAACAACCUGCCAACGUGUUUUUAGAUGAGUUGUUAGUAGGCUCGGUUUCGCUUAUUGAAGGGACUGGAUGAUAUCUACAGAAUUAAAAGCUUUUCUUGGUUUUGCGCUAACCACAUUGCCUUGGGGAUAUCCUGGUCUUGGGAUUCACCACAAAGGCUUUUUCAGCGACUUUUAUUGUCUUUGUGAUUGAAGAGGGCUAAGAAAGAUAAGUGAAGCUGCCCUACAGCAAUUAAAAGUCAGAUAGCAUGUAAAUUUCUUUUAAAAUAUGUUGUGGGUAUAUCUGAAUGUUAGGGUACAACUAUUUGUAAAUUCUGUGUCAUUUUCCCCAGAAAGAUAAAUGACAAUUCUCAUUAUAACCAGCAACAGGAUUUCAUCUGUGCCUUCUGAGGUUUGCUAUGCUGGCCAAUGCCAGGAAAAGGAUAUUGAAGGAAAUGAACAAGCGAGGCAAUCCCAAAGAAAUCCUGUAUUCCAAAUAGAAGCUGCUGUAUUUAGUAAAAAAUUCAUGUUAAAUAAAAGGUUACUAUUAAAUUAAAA